UACAGAGGUCUCAAGCGUUGUUCGGAUUCAUUGGGCGUAAAGGGUGCGUAGGCGGCGCGGUAAGUCGGGUGUGAAAUCUCGGGGCUUAACUCCGAAACUGCAUUCGAUACUGCCGUGCUUGAGGACUGGAGAGGAGACUGGAAUUUACGGUGUAGCGGUGAAAUGCGUAGAUAUCGUAGGGAAGACCAGUGGCGAAGGCGGGUCUCUGGACAGUUCCUGACGCUGAGGCACGAAAGCCAGGGGAGCAAACGGG
rnacentral:rRNA from 1 species